CGCCUGCGCGGAAGCCGGGCGGGUCACGUGACGGGCGCUGCCCGGAUGGGUCUAGGCUCCCGGAAGUAGUUGCUGCCGCUUUAAGAUCUCCUCUUUUCCAGCCAGGAGGCCCUGGCAUCUGUGAAGUAUCCGGUAGCCAGAUGCACACGCAGCGGCAACUCAUUUUCACCUCAGCCAGACCAGAUGAGCAUCUGAAACUAGGGCCUGUGGCAGAAGCCUCCUGUACCCCACAUGUAAGUAGACAUGGGGUUCUGUUGUUCCUUUAUCCCCUGAACAUGAACACCCAGGCGGACUUGUUUGUUCACUACUUGUUUGUUCACUACUGUUGUGAUAUAUCACAAA